CAGCCGCCGCGGUAACACGGAGGGAGCUAGCGUUGUUCGGAAUUACUGGGCGUAAAGCGCGCGUAGGCGGUUACUCAAGUCAGAGGUGAAAGCCCGGGGCUCAACCCCGGAACUGCCUUUGAAACUAGGUGACUAGAAUCCUGGAGAGGUCAGUGGAACUCCGAGUGUAGAGGUGAAAUUCGUAGAUAUUCGGAAGAACACCAGUGGCGAAGGCGACUGACUGGACAAGUAUUGACGCUGAGGUGCGAAAGCGUGGGGAGCAAACAGGAUUAGAUACCCCUGUAGUCCCUGUCUCUUAUAC
rnacentral:rRNA from 1 species